rnacentral:piRNA from 1 species
UGGAGGAACCACGUGGAGAGACAGGC